rnacentral:rRNA from 1 species
GACGAACGCUGGCGGCGUGCUUAGCACAUGCAAGUCGAACGAUGAAGCCGGAGCUUGCUCCGGUGGAUUAGUGGCGAACGGGUGAGUAACACGUGAGCAAUCUGCCCUUGACUCUGGGAUAACUGCGGGAAACUGUAGCUAAUACCGGAUACGACACCUUGGGGCAUCCCAGGGUGUGGAAAGAAUUUCGGUCAAGGAUGAGCUCGCGGCCUAUCAGCUAGUUGGUGAGGUAAUGGCUCACCAAGGCGACGACGGGUAGCCGGCCUGAGAGGGUGACCGGCCACACUGGAACUGAGACACGGUCCAGACUCCUACGGGAGGCAGCAGUGGGGAAUAUUGCACAAUGGGCGAAAGCCUGAUGCAGCAACGCCGCGUGAGGGAUGAAGGCCUUCGGGUUGUAAACCUCUUUUAGCAGGGAAGAAGCGAAAGUGACGGUACCUGCAGAAAAAGCACCGGCUAACUACGUGCCAGCCGCCGCGGAAA